rnacentral:sRNA from 1 species
CGCCGCAACCAGGACCGGCCCAGUCUCCUCAAGAAGUUCCGAGAAGCCAGAAAGUUUGGGAGGGAUAUCCCAUACAGAGCACUGUCCCUUCCCAGUAUUGGUACUACAUGAUUGAACUUUCCUUCUACUGGUCCCUGCUCUUCAGCAUUGCCUCUGAUGUCAAGCGAAAGGAUUUCAAGGAACAGAUCAUCCACCAUGUGGCCACCAUCAUCCUCAUCAGCUUUUCCUGGUUUGCCAAUUAC